UUUGACUGGGGCGGUCUCCUCCUAAAGAGUAACGGAGGAGCACGAAGGUUGGCUAAUCCUGGUCGGACAUCAGGAGGUUAGUGCAAUGGCAUAAGCCAGCUUGACUGCGAGCGUGACGGCGCGAGCAGGUGCGAAAGCAGGUCAUAGUGAUCCGGUGGUUCUGAAUGGAAGGGCCAUCGCUCAACGGAUAAAAGGUACUCCGGGGAUAACAGGCUGAUACCGCCCAAGAGUUCAUAUCGACGGCGGUGUUUGGCACCUCGAUGUCGGCUCAUCACAUCCUGGGGCUGAAGUAGGUCCCAAGGGUAUGGCUGUUCGCCAUUUAAAGUGGUACGCGAGCUGGGUUUAGAACGUCGUGAGACAGUUCGGUCCCUAUCUGCCGUGGGCGCUGGAGAAUUGAGGGGGGCUGCUCCUAGUACGAGAGGACCGGAGUGGACGCAUCACUGGUGUUCGGGUUGUCAUGCCAAUGGCACUGCCCGGUAGCUAAAUGCGGAAGAGAUAAGUGCUGAAAGCAUCUAAGCACGAAACUUGCCCCGAGAUGAGUUCUCCCUGACUCCUUGAGAGUCCUGAAGGAACGUUGAAGACGACGACGUUGAUAGGCCGGGUGUGUAAGCGCAGCGAUGCGUUGAGCUAACCGGUACUAAUGAACCGUGAGG
rnacentral:rRNA from 1 species